AGGAUUAUAUUUAAUAAUAAUAUUUGAGUUGCAUUCAAAAGGUGCUAAUUUAGCUAAUCUUU
rnacentral:tRNA from 1 species